rnacentral:rRNA from 1 species
CCUACGGGGAGGCAGCAGUGGGGAAUUUUGGACAAUGGGGGCAACCCUGAUCCAGCCAUGCCGCGUGAGUGAAGAAGGCCUUCGGGUUGUAAAGCUCUUUCGCAAGGGAAGAAACGGCCAUAUCUAAUAAAUAUGGCUAAUGACGGUACCUUGAUAAGAAGCACCGGCUAACUACGUGCCAGCAGCCGCGGUAAUACGUAGGGUGCGAGCGUUAAUCGGAAUUACUGGGCGUAAAGCGAGCGCAGGCGGUUUUGUAAGCCAGAUGUGAAAUCCCCGGGCUCAACCUGGGAACUGCGUUUGGAACUGCAAGGCUAGAGUGUGUCAGAGGGAGGUAGAAUUCCACGUGUAGCAGUGAAAUGCGUAGAGAUGUGGAGGAAUACCGAUGGCGAAGGCAGCCUCCUGGGAUAACACUGACGCUCAUGCUCGAAAGCGUGGGGAGCAAACAGGAUUAGAUACCCUGGUAGUCCACGCCCUAAAUCGAUGUCUACUAGUUGUUGGAGGAGUGAAAUCCUUCAGUAACGCAGCUAACGCGUAAGUGGACCGCCUGGA